rnacentral:lncRNA from 1 species
UAAGUCAGAGUUUGUGGUGGUGGUGUGUCACCAUUUACAGAAACAUUGUAGCAAAUAUCAUUGCCAAGCAGUGCUGCAGUUUUGUUGCUCGAUACUUUAGUAAGGUUGGAGUUGAGGUUUUGUAUGGCUUGCACAAGAGGGGUGUAGGAAUCUGGUGUGAAAUAGCUGAAUGCAAACGUUGAAUCAAUGAUCGUUCCUCCAGUUCCAUCGGCAAGAAUGCCUUGCACCAGAAAAGUCAACAUGUCGUUGAUACUUAUGGAUCUCAAGCCGAUGUAAUACAACGCAGUGGAAAUUGGAUUUACGAUCAUUGGAGUGUAAGAAAGAGAGGAGUUCGAUGAUAUCUUAUAAUUUCCGAACACGAUUUUGCCACUAAACGUAUCAGAUGGAGCACAAUAGAUAAACUUGCCUGUAUAGUCCAUUUCAGCAAGUUGUCCGAUGAAUGACUUGUUUGUCUUUGCAAAUCCCACCAGGCCUGAUGUACUGAGAAUUCCCAGCAAUCUCGUGCUUUGUCGACCACAUCCAAGUGACAUUCUAAGGCUUUUAUUGCCUCUAGUUUUACGUGGAGCUUUCAUGGUUACAACAUCACUAGCCAUCUCACCAGCUGAGGAGUACCUGGGGCUGUAAGAAGCAUUAUAUAAGCAAGUCGUGGAACCCACUGCUGAAGAUCCACAAGAGUUUGUGGAGAAACCAGGGGAUGUCGAGCAGAAAGGAGAGGUGCAAGGAAUUCUACUUUAAGAUGUGGAUGAUGCCGAUGAAAAGAGGGGUUCGUUUGUGGAAACAUUGCAAUCGAUGCAAGGAGAGCAAGCAGCCCAGAAGAAUUCCGAGUUAAGUGCCAUGGUGAAGUUGUGCUGCAUAGGAGGAGUUCCCAAAUUGACAUUCAUGGCGAAGUUGAGGCCGUUAUCUGGAGUUCGUCUUCGCUUCCAGGCGGCAACUCCCAUCUCGAAUCCCUCUUCUAUCGCAACUUUCAAGACCGUUCUUGCAAUAACAUUGGCCAACCCUAAAGGAGCAGCCUCGACGUGAGGACGACUAAAUUCCCAAAUGCACACAAGAGCCAGUAGGAAACAAAGCACAGACCGACACCUCUCCAUGGAGGAUUGAGAAACUCUUGGAAGAUUGGAAAAACUAGAUUGAGAAACUCUUGAGGCAAGAUUGAGGCAAUAUAUAUUUGAUGACAUAUCUGACUCUUUCAAUCAAUAUAUGUAACAACAGUUUUCAUAAACAUCAUCCUUUUUGUAAAAGAUAAGACCGAUUGAUCUGGACACUUUAAAAUAUUUCAGUUUACCUUUUACCAAUAUAAAAACGGGCAAAACAAAUGGCUGGAUUGAGACAAACGUUAUGACAAGAUAAAGUUUUGAAGGUGUCUUAAACAAGCAGGAGAUACGUCAGGAGAGGAAGAAAAGAAAACAAUUGAGUUGUAGAAGAUUUCCACACAAAGAUGUAUGUCCAAGCACACAGUCGCAUUUUCAGCAUAUUCAUCUAGCAGAAAACAUGUCUGAAAUUCAACCUGUAUCCCAUCGUCUAAGUGAUAAGUUGGAGUUUGUGGUGGUGGUGUGUCACCAUUUACAGAAACAUUGUAGCAAAUCAUUGCCGAGCAGUGCUGCAGUUCCUUUGCUCGAUACUUGAGUGACGUUCCCGGUUUGAGAUCCAUAAGUAUCACGUUGAAUUUUCCAGUGCAAGGCAUUCUUGCAGAUGGAACUGGAGGAAUGAUCAUUGAUUCAACGUUUGCAUUCAGCUAUUUCACACCAGAUUCCUACACCCCUCUUGUGCAAGCCAUGCAAAACCUCAACUCUAAUUUGGAUUUACUAAUGGCUCGACUAAUUGGCUUAUCCUUUUAGUGUGGCUCGUCCAGAAUGGUACAGGUAAGCCUUCAUUGAUUUUCGCCCAACCAAUCGUCCACCCCAAGAUGGGGACGGACGAGCCCAGUUAUGGGAAGUAGUUUGGAUAUGAAAAGCAAGUUAAUCUAUUUUGAUGCGUUUAGUGGCAAAAUCGUGCUUGGGAACUAUAAGAAAUCAGGGAUUUUGAGAGGCUCUAUGAUGUGUUUCAGGACAGAGAGAUUGAAGAACACAAAAGAGCUGCGUCGUUUUCUCUCUGCAAAGGUAUAUUGAUGCUGCUGCUGAAGUAUCACAAUUAUCGAUUGGCUCCAAGUAUGUAUGUUAUUAUGCUUUCCUGAUUAUGAUUAUUGGACAGUUUUCGUGAGGGAAACAAUGCCAGAAUCAAUUUAGAGUGAGUAGUGUUACAGCAUAAACAAUCAGAGUGUUUACUUUUUAGCUUCUCCAAUGCUUGUUUUACAUCUUCAAUGCUCGCAAUUUUCUUAAACAAAUUGUUUAUCGAUCUUCAAUUCAUAAUACUUAUGCCCUUUCCUGUUUUUGAAUGUACAAAUAACAAUUCCAUUGUUGAGCUGCAAGCAAAAGGAUUUUGGCAUGUGUUUGAGGUUCUACCUUAAUCUUGAGAAAUCUUUCAGAACUUUUUUCCCUCCAGCUUCUUUGGUUGAGCAUGAAUUUCUGUGGAGAUGAUGGGCAAAGAGAUUCCCAGCUGAGUCAAGCUUGUCCAAAAUCUUGUCUGCAUAUGGCUUCAUUACUCAAUUAAAAACCACAAUCUCAUAUAUCUUGCUCAUCUUUUUUAAAAAACUAUUCAUGCUCAACCUCUUUGCCACAAAGUAACACUUCAGUAGAAUAGUUUUCCCACUGAAGAGCUUAAGGGAUGCUAUGGCCUUGUGGGCAUGGAUUAAUGUUUAACACAAGAUGGGGUUUAUUCUCUAAAGGUGGUGGUAGCAAUAAAAAAUCAUCUUCUCUUUGGUGGUGAUGUUGAGUGUUGCAAAACUCCACUCCUAUGGCCUCUUCAUAGUUAUGAAGAAAGAUAGAAAGAAUGUGAGAUUGCAAUAAAUCUUUAUAAAUCAAGUUAAUACACUUCCAUAAUUCUGGCCGAGCAGCAUGUAGAAAUUCAACCCCAACACCAAGAGUCUCUAGGCAAAUUGAGCUCCACGCUCAGGCCUUGUGGAUCUUUUGGAUCUUCUAGCAAGCAGCUAGUAGCGAGACCCAAGCAACACUCUGGGGCUUGAAAGGCAUGCUGUGGAUGAGCUCUUUGGCCUUGUCUAGCUCUUUGGCCCUUGGAAACAUGUCAACAAACCCACAAUAGUGUUCUCCUAUGGCUUGACUCCAUAGUCUUGAAUCAUUAACUAAAAGUAGUCUUGAGAAAUCUUCACCACCUAAGUGGCAACAUGCCACAAACAUGCUCAUAAAGACAAUGUGAUUGGGCAUCAUGCUCUCCUGGAUGGUCCUAUGGAAGGUUUCCAAGGCCUCGGUUACAUGCCGGUGGAAGCAUCCAUGGCCACCACUGCAGUCCAUGAGACCCACUCUGGCAUUUUCUCAAACCAAACUCAAGCUUCCAAAAGGAGUCCCUUGUGAACAAAACCCACCACCAUUGCCAUCCAGGCAAUCACAUCACACUCCUCCAUCGCUUGGAAGGGGCUCAUCACUUCCUGGAAGUGCGUUCCAGAGAUAGGCCGAGAGGAGUGCUGUGCUUGCUGUCUUGCUAUUGUAAGGCAUUCGAUCUAAAAUAAACUUUGCAUUUUCAAGAUGGUUUCUAGAGGUAAGCAUAUGCAUCAUUGUCGUCCAAGAGAUCUCAUCACGGUGAGCCAUCUUUUGGAAAGAAUCUAAUGCCUCGUCCAAAUGCCCAUUCGCGGCAUAUCUGCAAACCAUGGAGUUCCAAGCCACGUCUUUGUUUGGCAGCCUAUCAGACAAAGCUUUAGCCUCCUCCAUAGAGCCGUUAGAUGCGUAGCCGUCAAUCAUAGCCGUAAAUGUCACCUCAUUAAGAUCUGGGGCAUCUUCAAAGAGAAUCUUUGCUUGCUCCAUAUGCCCUGCCUGGGCAUAUGCUGUGAUCAUGGUCCUCCAUGUUACUACAUUCCUUGUGGGCAUUCUAUCAAAGAGAUCUUUAGCUUCAUCCAGCCCCGGGUUGUGGCAUGGCCUUGUACCAUGGCCGCCCACGCCACCACGUCCUUUUGGGGCAGAGUUCACGUGCGCAUGAGAGAUGCCCGUUAUGGGCAUAUGCCACGAUCAUGGAGGUGCUAGAAACGAGGGUUUCCUCCGGCAUGGAGUGGAAUACCGCCUCCGCCUCGCCGAGAUUGCCACUCUGCGAGUACAUCUCGAUCAUCGUGUUCCAGGUGAUGGAAUUCUUUGGCAGGGAUGCGAUCGAAGAGCUGCUUGGCGCGCUGCACGUCCCCGGCCGCGAGAUCAUGGUGUUGCUGGACACAAUCUCCUGCGGCGGCAUGCUUCCCAGGACCGAUCGCGCCUGCUCCAGGUCGUGGUUGGGAAUGUAGGCCUGGAGGGUGAGAUUCCAAGAGAAGAGAUUGCGAUCCGAGGUAGAAUCGGCUUCCUCCAGGCAGCCGCAGCGGCCAUACAUCUGGACGAGGAGAUUUCGCAGGAAGACGCUGUUAUUGUGGUCGCUGUGAAGGAUCUGGGCGUGGAUCCGGCGGCCAUCGCUGGGAUUGUCGCAAGAUCUGACGAGGGCGACAAGCUCUUGGACGCCAAGAACGCGCAUCGCAUCAUGGCCGUUGGAUGAUGGGGACGUCCGAGGUUCAAGUCCUGGCAGGUUCUAGCUUCCAGCCACGAAGUUUUCAUGGCACGCGGCGAGAACUCAUCCCCCAUCGUGCAGCCGCACUCCAAAUGCCAGAGGCAAUCGCAAUCGGGCGCGCUCGUCAACGACACAAUUAAUUUCCAUCUUUUCUUGUGGCUUGGAUGGAUUUCUCUUGCUGCGAGUUCAGCAAGUUGUCCGAUGAAUGACUUGUUUGUCUUUGCAAAUCCCACCAGGCCUGAUGUAUUGAGAAUUCAAAGAAGCUAUAUAUCUCGAGUUUACAAAUCAAUCCAGACUGAAUUUUCUAUGUUGACGCGGUUUGUAUAGUAAACUUGACAAGACAAAGUUUUGAAGGUGACGUGAGGAGAGGAAGAAAAGAAAACACUUGAGUUGUAGAAGAUUUCCACACGAAGACGUAUGUAAAACCAGAAGAAGUGUCAAGGUUCAUACAUCCUGCCGUUCCAAAUCCAAUCUCCUGCUUUUCCAGAUCAAACUCCACUGCCACAUCCAGCUGCUGGUAGGUUCCUAUAACAUUCAGUGAGAACCCCACCUUCUGUGAGUCUUCAAACAGCCAAGCACACAGUAGCAUUUUAAGCAUCACCAUCUAGCGGAAACCAUGUCCGAAAUUCAACCUGUGUGCCAUUCUCAAAGUGAUAAGUCAGAGUUUGUGGUGGUGGUGUGUCACCAUUUACAGAAACAUUGUAGCAAAUAUCAUUGCCAAGCAGUGCUGCAGUUUCGUUGCUCGAUACUUUAGUAAGGUUGGAGUUGAGGUUUUGUAUGGCUUGCACAAGAGGGGUGUAGGAAUCUGGUGUGAAAUAGCUGAAUGCAAACGUGGAAUCAAUGAUCGUUCCUCCAGUUCCAUCUGCAAGAAUGCCUUGCACCGGAAAAGUCAACGUAUCGGUGAUACUUAUGGAUCUCAAGCCGAUGUAAUACAAGGCAGUGGAAUUUA